GACGAACGCUGGCGGCGUGCCUAACACAUGCAAGUCGAACGGAGAUGUUGAUUUCGGUUGACGUCUUAGUGGCGAACGGGUGAGUAACGCGUGAACAAUCUGACCUUAAGAGGGGGAUAACAACGAGAAAUCGUUGCUAAUACCGCAUAAGACCACAAUGCCGCAUGGCGAAGGGGUCAAAGGAGCAAUCCGCUUAAGGAGGGUUCGCGUCCCAUUAGGUAGUAGGUGAGGUAACGGCCCACCUAGCCGACGAUGGGUAGCCGAGCUGAGAGGCUGAUCGGCCACACUGGAACUGAGACACGGUCCAGACUCCUACGGGAGGCAGCAGUGGGGAAUAUUGGGCAAUGGGCGCAAGCCUGACCCAGCAACGCCGCGUGAGGGAAGAAGGUUUUCGGAUUGUAAACCUCUGUCGCAGAUGACGAAACAAAUGACGGUAAUCUGUGAGGAAGCCCCGGCUAACUAACGUGCCAGCAGCCGCGGUAAU
rnacentral:rRNA from 1 species